rnacentral:rRNA from 1 species
CAGUGCUGCAGCAAACGCAUUAAGCACUCCGCCUGGGGAGUACGACCGCAAGGUUGAAACUCAAAGGAAUUGACGGGGGCCCGCACAAGCGGUGGAGCAUGUGGUUUAAUUCGAAGCAACGCGAAGAACCUUACCAGGUCUUGACAUCCUUUGACCACUCUAGAGAUAGAGCCUUCCCCUCCGGGACAAAAUGACAGGUGGGG